rnacentral:rRNA from 1 species
GAUGAACGCUGGCGGCGUGCUUAACACAUGCAAGUCGAACGAGGAAUAACCGGUGAGAUCUUCGGAUGGAUCUGAUUAUUCCGAGUGGCGGACGGGUGAGUAACGCGUGGGUAACCUGCCCCAUACAGGGGGACAACAGAGGGAAACUUCUGCUAAUACCGCAUAAGCGGUCCGGAUGGCAUCAUCCGGACCGGAAAGCUCCGGCGGUAUGGGAUGGGCCCGCGUUGGAUUAGGCAGUUGGCGGGGUAACGGCCCACCAAACCGACGAUCCAUAGCCGACCUGAGAGGGUGACCGGCCACAUUGGGACUGAGACACGGCCCAGACUCC